GAUGAACGCUGGCGGCGUGCCUAAUACAUGCAAGUCGAGCGAACAGACGAGGAGCUUGCUCCUCUGACGUUAGCGGCGGACGGGUGAGUAACACGUGGAUAACCUACCUAUAAGACUGGGAUAACUUCGGGAAACCGGAGCUAAUACCGGAUAAUAUAUUGAACCGCAUGGUUCAAUAGUGAAAGACGGUUUUGCUGUCACUUAUAGAUGGAUCCGCGCCGCAUUAGCUAGUUGGUAAGGUAACGGCUUACCAAGGCAACGAUGCGUAGCCGACCUGAGAGGGUGAUCGGCCACACUGGAACUGAGACACGGUCCAGACUCCUACGGGAGGCAGCAGUAGGGAAUCUUCCGCAAUGGGCGAAAGCCUGACGGAGCAACGCCGCGUGAGUGAUGAAGGUCUUCGGAUCGUAAAACUCUGUUAUUAGGGAAGAACAAAUGUGUCAGUAACUAUGCACGUCUUGACGGUACCUAAUCAGAAAGCCACGGCUAACUACGUG
rnacentral:rRNA from 1 species